UACGUAGGUGGCAAGCGUUGUCCGGAUUUACUGGGUGUAAAGGGCGUGUAGCCGGGCUGACAAGUCAGAUGUGGAAUCCGGGGGCUCAACCCCCGAACUGCAUUUGAAACUGUUGGUCUUGAGUAUCGGAGAGGCAGGCGGAAUUCCUAGUGUAGCGGUGAAAUGCGUAGAUAUUAGGAGGAACACCAGUGGCGAAGGCGGCCUGCUGGACGACAACUGACGGUGAGGCGCGAAAGCGUGGGGAGCAAACAGG
rnacentral:rRNA from 1 species